UCUUUCUGGACCGACCACUUAAUCUAGAUUAGACCUCCCCAACUGCAGUCCCGAGUGGUCUACUCAGCCGAAGGGGAUGGCUCCUGGAAACCUCACAGAUCUUCCAAAUAGGAAGGGGGAGGGGCUUGUCAUUCAUUAUCUGUAAUGUAAGAAGAACUUGAUAGCAUGGGUAAUCCGAAGCGUAAUAGCUUGAAAGCUCUGGAAUGGGGUUCAUCCAUGAAACACAUAUGCCUGGCCAUCCGGAGAACAGAGCGGCAGCUGUGAAGGUUGGCUUCUGAGUCACCAUCACUGAAGUGGAACUAUUUGUACAAGUUCAAAGGCACCAAAGACCUUGGCAAUCAUCUGCCCUAGUGAAUGUCAAGACAUAGAUGACAUCACUGU